UACGGGGGGGGUAAGCGUUGUUCGGAAUUACUGGGCGUAAAGGGCGCGUAGGCGGCGCAACAAGUCACUUGUGAAAUCUCCGGGCUUAACUCGGAAAGGUCAAGUGAUACUGUUGUGCUAGAGUGCGGAAGGGGCAACUGGAAUUCUCGGUGUAGCGGUGAAAUGCGUAGAUAUCGAGAGGAACACCUGCGGCGAAGGCGGGUUGCUGGGCCGACACUGACGCUGAGACGCGAAAGCGUGGGGAGCGAACAGG
rnacentral:rRNA from 1 species